rnacentral:lncRNA from 1 species
GAAUCAAUCAUUGAAAUCACCCUAUGGAAUUUGCCUUUGUAUUCCAAUUUGGUUCCAGAAUGGAAUAAGAAGACUUAAAGACUAGUUGAGCAAAGCCAUGUAGGGCCUGCGAACUACCCAUCCAGGGCUCCAAGGGAAGCAGGCACAGACGAUUGAGUUGGGAGCUGAGUGUGAUCGGGAGAGUUGUGGGAAGUCAAGUUUGGAUGUUCUGGAGGAGUCUGCCGAGGGAUGCUGACAGAGGCAGAGCCUUUGUGAAGUUCACUGGACCAAUUUCAGUAGCCAGGAGCAAUGCUCAGGAAUUUGUUUGGCUAGCAGGGACUCUUGGGCAGAUACAAAUGCUAUUCCAAAUUUCUCUCUUCUGAAAGACAAAGUGAG